CGCGCGUCUGUUGCCAGAGCGCGCACGUCGUCAGCGUCAGUCUUGCGACAACACGAGGCCUGCUGCAUGAAGCCGGUUUCAGUUUGCUAAUCAGAUUGCUCUCAGCAGUGGGCGGGACUUACAAGCAGUAAUCCAAUUGGCUGAAAAUGUGAUUAAUAUCCGAAAGCCUGUUGCCAAUUUGCAAUCCACCUGAGGACCAGCGUGAGCACAAGGAGAAGUCUUCUUUGAGUUUUAUGAUCUCUGGGUCAGAGCUGCUGGAGGUCAUGAGGAGGUGGCAGGAGAAGCAGCCACAGCAGUCUCUUAUUCCACUGACCUUUUUUCUGGAGUCAGUGGAGCGCACUCCGUUCGCUGCCAUAAUGUUCCUUUGACAAGAACUCUUGGACGUGUCUGAUAAUGGUACCAGCUCAUACCCGUUCUCUGGGAUUAAAGGUUACAACAGGUCAUUUCUGUUUGAGUGCAUGUUUGAAAAUGGAGUUAUUUACAAACAGUUUGUGUGCACAAUAAAAGGCUACAUGUGA